AGAAUCAUGGCUCAAUAUCAGCACGGAUUUCACAUUCUCACACACAAGCAUGCCCAUGCACACGCACCCCCAAAAGCAUGCAUGAAGAAAUCUGUUUGAAAACACCACCCUCUCACCAUCAUCAUUGUACAUAUCGGAAGCGUAAUUACACAGACACUCGGUCUCGAAACCUAGCAACAGUAACCAAGCGUUCCUUGGGCAGCUCAUCAGACACCCAAACACACAUCAGCUCCAUGGGCUUCAUUUAAAAAAAAAAACAAAAACCUCUCGCUUCUCUCCCCAUAGCUGCAGAAGGACAAGAUGUAUAAACACAAACCUUGCUCCGCUGAAGAGGCACAGCCCAUAUCAUUCAAUCCAUCUGACAGUGCAUCCCCCCAAACAGCCAGGCAAAACCAAAAAUAACAAAGGCUGUAAAAAAUAGGUUAUCCCAGUCCAAAGCUGAUCAGCUUGCAACAUGCUUAAUCUUUGCACGACUAGGUCGGACUUGAGCACCCCGGCUCCCCAACAGCCUUGCUUUGGGGGACCUCCAACCCAUCGCUCAAUGCCAUUUGCCAACGCUCGAUGGCCAAAGCUUUUAAGACCUGCUGGCUUCAUGGACUCAGCCACAGCUCAGCACUGGUGGACAAGAAGCGGGAUUUACUUUGUUUAAAAAAAAAAAAAAAAAAAAAGGAACCACAGCAUGGGCGAGCGAGCAGCAACACAGACGCUGGCCGCACUGUGAAGGGAACAGUUCAGGACAAGAUGUCACCUCUCUUUUAAAGGCAUAGGGUUGUAUCCACAUGGCGUCUUGCAUCCGGUUCCGAUGCCGCAGACCCCUGCAGGCCCAUUCAUCUCUUGCCGUGUUUCAGCCCCUUUACCGUCUUUCCCUAAAUCCACAUGGGAGCCUCUUAGGUGCCCUGAUUUCUGCGUUGCACUCUUGGGUCUUUAAAACAAAGGCGCCGUGGCUCCGAGGCAGAGAAUGUGGGAUCUGUUAAAGGGACUUUUGGAGAAGUCGUCCCACGGAUGAGGCUGUUUGCAGAAAGUCAGGGGCACGUGGUGCAUUUUAAUUUACUCACUCUGCAGCAUCUAGAUCAACCCCACUCCCAAGGUGGGCUCUGCGAACCCUUCCACCAAAAUGCAAACCCAACACGGUGCCACAAAAUGCCACCCAACACGAUGUAGGCAAAGGCACGCCUUACCCUCAGCUCCUCUCUGAGUUCAGAAUCCUGACACGUGAGGCUGGGUUCUCCAAGGUGCCACCCCAGCCCCACAACUGUCUGAUAAACAGAACGCUGCCAACAAGCAUCACGAGCAUCAUCUGAGAGCCAACUGCCCCAAGUACGGGACACGCGCCCUGUUCUUCCGUAUUCUCCCACGCUGUGGUGUCGCUCAGAACACCUGCUGGAGCUCAAAGUAGCAAUCAGGCCCCCGUGCCGUCCCUCCCGGCACCCUCCUGUGAUUCCUGAGGCUGCAGCAAGACACAGACGGCCCGUGGAAGUCAAGUUGAAGGCGCCCAGUAAUCAUACCAGAGGCCCACCCGCCCAAGAGUCCAGGGGCAGCAGAGACUGGCCCUGACCUUGACAGACUCAGAUGGCAGUGUCAGCAGACACACAGGAUGCGGGGGCGGGGGGGGGGUGAGGGGCCGGGGAAGGCCACGGGGCCACGGGAGCUGGAAUGGGAAAGCCAUGUGCUCACGGAGCCUCACCCUUGACCCCCGAUCUCAGGACCAGCUGGGAGGGUGGAGAAUACCACCCCCCAAGCAACCCACUGCCCCUGCCCCUGACCAUGCUUGGGGGUGGGCGGAUAAAACUUUACACGCCUGCAAAUGCAUCCAACCCCAGAAAUGAUUUGCCUACAAGGGCUCUGCUCCUCGGGACCCAACUCCCCAGGCGCCUGGACAUCGGGAUUCAAGGUCAAGAAGAGAGUGUGGGGAGGGGCUGCACGUGGAGUGGGAGCAGCAGGAGAAAGAGUCUCUCGAUUAGCAGAUGUCUGCUGAGGCCCCACGGUGCACCAGGCGCUGCAACAGCCUGGAGAGACAGUCACAGCAACUCGAGCGCCCCCAGGUCGAUGGCAGCCCCCCAAAGACAUGGCUGGGUCCUAACCCUUGGAUCCUAUCACUGGGGCCUUAUUUGGAAGUAAGGCCUUUGCAGGUAUAAUUUUUUUUUUUAAUGACUGUACCUGCGGCACAUGGAAGUUUCCAGGCUAGGAGUCGAACGGGAGCUGCAGCUGCCACUAUACGCCACAGCCACAGCCACGCCAGAUCCGAGCCGCAUCUGUGACCUACACCACAGCUCACGGCAACGCUGGAUCCUUAACCCACUGAGCGAGGCCAGGGAUCCGACCCGCAGCCUCAUGGAUACCAGUCAGAUUCUUAACCUGCUGAGCCACAGUGGGAACUCCUGCAGUUGCAGAGAUUGACGUCCGUAUCGGAAGAGGAGGGGAGGCCGAGACGCAGGGAGGAGGGCCGUGUGAAGGCGGAGGAGGCGCUCCUACAGCCCCAGGAACGCCUGGGGCUGCCAGGGACCAGCAGAAGCUGGGAAGAGGUGAGGAGGGGCCCGGACCCCCGGAAGGACCAGCUCCGCUGACACCGCGACUUUGCCCUCGUGGCUUCCUGAGCCUCAGGAGAAGACGUUUCGGCUCUUUGAAGCCACCCAGUUGGUGGCUUUUGGUUAUGGCCCUCCCAUCCUCAGGCUCUGAGCGAGCCCACCGGAGGGGAGGGCGGGACAGACAGGUCUGGAGGGUCCUGGAUGAAAUGGCGAUGGCAGGGACCACCCCGGACCUGGGUCAGGCUCUGGGGGCUGCUCUGAGCACCUGCCGUGUGUGCAAGCUCCCCCCAGGCACCCAAAUCUGGCACGUGCCGCUUGGCAGUGGGGAGGCUCAGGGGCUUUCGGUCAGCGAGUCAAGAGCCGUCAGGGAGAACAAGGGACCCCCGACUAGGGGAUCAACUGCCAGCAGCGCUGAACACUUGCUGGGGUGGGGUGGGGGACAGAAACGCAGCCGAGGUGUCUGGGGACAGGGAGGUGGGGGCGGUGGGCGGGUGCAAUGAUCAGAGCUGAGUGCGCCGUUCUCCCUUGAACAGCGGUGACGGGCGGUGCCCGCUUUGGAAGGUACAGGGGUCUGUGGUCCUCUCCGCGCGGCUCCCGAACCCAGAGGGCAGGAAGGCGCGGAGCACCCGGCCCCCUGGGUCAUCACCCCUAAAGGGCCAGGCCUGGGAUGAACGAAUGUCUCCGGACCCCCAGACCAGCACGAGGCCCAAGGGGAGAGGACGUGCCGGGAAGAUGGUCCUGGCGAGACGGCGGCCGUUCCCCCACCUCCAGGGCUUCUAGGGCUGCUUCCAGGCAGCACAGGGUCGGGGGCGGGGGGACGCCCCGCUUCCCUCCGGAGGCAGGAAUUCUUCUGGAGUCUGGAAGGACCCGGGGGGGGGGCAGCGGUGCUAGAGUUCUGAGCCCACCCCCACCUCUGAGGUCCCCACUCAGAGUUCAGGGGCCCGUGGAGGUGGCUCCCCCAGGGCUGGUCCUCCUGCCUCCUGCUCGCGGCCCCUCUCAGGGAGACCUCCCGCGGACCCGACCCCGCAGCGGGCAGCCCUCCCAGUGGGAGAGUCAAGAGUGACAUUUCUCCUUGAAACGUGACAACGGAGGCGGAAGCCUGGGGGGACUCAGGACUUGGGGAGAAAACAAUGGAUUCUGCAGGUUGGAGCUUCUUGGGUGAAGCAGGGAGGCCCUAAAACAGGACUGGCCUCCCAAGCGGGGGAAGGGGCAGCACACCUGGGAUAGGGGUGGGGGUCAGGGGUCGUCCUGACGGCACAGGGCGAGGCUGCCGGUCUGCAGGGCCUGUGCCUUCGUCCUGACCUUCCUGAGUCUCAGAUGGCCUCUCUGCAGCUUCCAGAGAGUCCUCCGCCACCACUGCCCCCGACCUCUGAACCCAGCUGGGGAGCAGAGUUCAGCGGAGAGAUGCUUAAUUCUGGCAGCCGCAGAGCACUGGACCUGGCCCCCUGUCAGCUGGCCGGGACCCAGGGACCCUCUGUGUCCCCAUCCACCCACCGUGACCAGCCCUGGCUCCACCCCCCACCCCAGCCCUCAGUGCCUGAGGCUCUUGCCUGGGCCCCCCUGUUUUUCUGCGUUCACAGGGAGGCAGGGGGCCUGCUGGUAAAGAGCCCAGAGAGCCUCAGAGUCCCAUGGGCCUGACCUCAAAGCCGGGCUCGGCCAGUCACUCCAGUGAAUGGGAGAGCCCUGCUGGGGAGGUGUCGCUAGAGCCCUGUCCGCACCCCCUGGCAUUCAGUGUGCCCCGGAAACAUGCUGGGCUGCUUGCAGCCACAGGCACCUGCACGUGCCCCAGGAGGGUCUGCCCUGGCACAGAGCAGGCCAGAGCUCACGGGAACUUGACCAGGUGGGUCAAUACACAGAUCGCCUCACCCUGGGAAGGGCCAAGGCCAAGACACGCUCCCGCGGCCCCAGAGUUCCCAAAGGGACUGGGCCUCAGGUGUCUGCAGGCACCUGUUCUUUUUUUUUUUUUUUUUUGUCUUUUUGCCUUUUCUAGGGCCGCACCCACGGCAUAUGGAGGUUCCCAGGCUAGGGGUCCAAUCGGAGCUGCAGCCGCCAGUCUAAGCCAGAGCCACAACAAUGCAGAAUCUGAGCUGUGUCUGCGACCUACACCACAGCUCAAGGUAACACCGGAUCCUUAACCCACUGAGCGAGGCCAGGGGUCGAACCUGCAACCUCACGGACACCAGUCGGAUUUAUUUCCACUGUGCCACGACAGGAACUCUGCACCUGUUCAUUUAUGCAACUGAGCUGGUGGCCUGUCCUUUCAGACUGACCCCUGUGCUCCUACUUGCCCUCAAAUCCUUGCUUCCAGGUCUGCUUCUGGGGAAACUCAACCCAAAUGCCUCGUCUGGUGGCAGGUCCAGCCUCAGUGCCAUGGAAAGAGCGACCACAUCAGGACCCGGGGAGUGACGGCGCUGGGCACGCAGGCUCAGGAAGGGGUGGCUGUCUCCCCGGGGUUAUUCCCCCUCCAGAGCCUGGUCCGCUCUCCGAAAUAGCAGGCACAGAUCCGCACACAGGACUUAAUGAGACUCAUGCACAGGCUACAGGGAGGGACGGCCCCAGAAUCUCCCCACCAUGCACCCAGCAUCUGGCCCCGCUGGUAGCAGGGGCAGGUGCAGAGCUGGGGUGGUC
rnacentral:lncRNA from 1 species